CCCACUCUCUAUUUUAUGUAAGUCUCUUUUGUCUGGAGGCGAGAAUAUGUUGGAUUCAGAGUAGCUGGAGGUCUGUGCGCCCCUCAUCCAGUUCCCUACCUUUCCGCCUUCACAGCGAUCCCUUACCCCCAUCUUACCCUUAUCUUCCGGACCGACAGAUCCUGAGGGUCCUGAGGAGCCUAAGCCGCAGUGAGUGAGCGAUCCUCUCCGUUACCCCCAUCUUACCCUCAUCUUCCGGACGGACCGAUCCUGAGGGUCCUGAGGAGUCUAAGCCGCAAUGAGUGAGUUUGGCCGCCACUGUUGGAGUCCAACUCUCGUAGUGAGAUGAAGGAUGCGACAUUUUCCAUUUGGCUGGCUGGUCGCAGAAGAGAGUUCAGCUAGAUUGGAGAGGAGCACUCUGGUGCAGACACAGAGCACUUUGGGAGAUUUCAGCGGAAUUACACCAGAAGCCCUCUUUCCGAGGCAAGAAGAAUAUUUUCCAUUUGGCUGGCUGGUGGCAGAAGAAGAGUUUUCAGAGGAUAAAGCUACGAGUGGAGAGUUCAGUGGACAACCAGAUUCAUCUUCAUCUCACACCACUGUGGUAGGUGGCUGGGCUCCUGCACGCCCCCCACUGAGACCAAGCUGGUCUGAAAGACUCACCAGAAAGCUAGCCGAGCCCCAGGUGAAGGAGACAAGAGAUUUAUUCCAUCUCUGUGCUGGUUGGAGGCAGAAGAAAGCAGAGGCAGAGGCAAAAGGACAGAACCUUUGGAUUUGGAGAUAUUUGGAGGGCUCUAAGCUAAACCGGCUGUGUUUUGAGAAGAACAAGAACUCCAACAUUUGAACUCCCAACAUUUUGGCAGUCAGAAAAGUCCUGUUUAUGGACUCUUCGAAGUUUAUUGGUCAGAGAGACAAAUACAUAUAGCUCAAAUGCUCAUAGGUUUGAUAAGAAGUGCACUCUUUUUUUUUUUUCUACACAUAAACUUAAGUUUACCCUUCCCCAAGUACAUACAUAUAUACACACAAACACACACACAUUUUCAGUGAAACUAUAGAUCUUCAGUAGAACUUUGAAGAGCUUCCACAUAUGGGAAACACAUGAGCAUUUGCAUAUAAGAUAUAUACCCGUGAACACAUUAUCAAGUCACAUGUAUUGAAGAGCACUUAUGUCUUUCUAUUGAUAUCAUCACCCUGCUCUUUAGUAAAUACAUUCCUUGUCUAGUGCUGCUCAAGAAGUGCACUCUUUUAAAAUUCCUGUAGCCUAACAAAAUCUACUAUGAUGUAAAUGAUUAAACCACUUAAGCCCUAAGAGAUGUAAAUAGUUGAGAU